GUGGCGGUGGCACAGUGGUUAAGUGUGCUUGACCUUGGAUCAAAAGGUCCUGAGUUCAAGUCCUUGUCACG